GGAGCAAGAGAGCGGGCAAGGAGCCAAUCAGAAGCUUGGAUGGUGGACCACCUUCUGGGUUGGGCGGAUUGAGGCGGGGUUUUGUCGUCAGUUCCUUCUUGACCCCAAGCUUCUCCCUGGAGAAAAGUUCAUCUUUUAAACAACUAUUCUUCUCAUGUGAGUGUAGAAGAUCAGUCUUUGAAGACAAAGUUGAGGGUGACCUGAAGGGCAAUAUGGAAGGGAAAGGGAGCAGUUUGCAAGGCAUAACAAAUGAAGACUUGCACAAGAGAAAUAAGAAAACAUUGGAGUCCUCAGAUCACAAGAUUUGUAACUGGAGUAGACCUUGGAGCUCAUCUAGUCCAUUCUUAUCUUAUGGAGAAGGAAACUGAAGCCCAGAAAGGAGAAGGACAGUCACAUGGACAGAGACUCCCUGUUUUCUUGAAUUAAAGCCCAGCAAGCAAGUUGUGCCCUGAGCUUGGCAUAACAACAAUCCUUUUCGCUCACUCUGCCGCAACUAAAUCACAGAACUGAUGGUCCCUGAGCUUGGGCAAGCACCAACAGGCCCAGACAUGAAGCCCUGCUAUGAAUGGAUUUUUUGUCACUAGACAGCCUUGCCUCAAUGUUGCUGUUGUGCCUCACUACUGUUGCUACACUAUACUAUUUGAUUCUUUGUCUAGCCACAAAUAUAAAAAUCAAGGUUUAGCUCCACUGCCUUGAGUCUCCUACUAGAGGAGGCCCCAACAUAUAUGUCUAAUUUCUCUCCUCCAAUGGAAUAAAGAAAGUUUUUUGCUUUUAA